GUGCCAGCAGCCGCGGUAAUACGUAGGCAGCAAGCGUUGUUCGGAGUUACUGGGCGUAAAGGGUGCGUAGGCGGCUCUAUAAGUAUGGUGUGAAAUCUCCCGGCUUAACUGGGAGGGUGCGCUAUAGACUGUGGGGCUAGAGUGUGGGAGAGGAAAGUGGAAUUCCUGGUGUAGCGGUGAAAUGCGUAGAUAUCAGGAGGAACACCGGUGGUGUAAACGGCUUUCUGGACCAUAACUGACGCUGAGGCACGAAAGCGUGGGUAGCAAACAGGAUUAGAUACCCUGGUAGUCCACGCCCUAAACGAUGCAUAUUUGGUGUGGGUCAUUCAGUUGAUCCGUGCCGGAGCUAACGCGUUAAAUAUGCCGCCUAGGGAGUACAGUCGCAAGGCUGAA
rnacentral:rRNA from 1 species